rnacentral:snRNA from 1 species
UCGCGCUUGGUUGAAAAGC